rnacentral:rRNA from 1 species
GCCUGAUGCAGCAACGCCGCGUGCGGGAUGACGGCCUUCGGGUUGUAAACCGCUUUUAGUAGGGAAGAAGGGCUUCGGCUUGACGGUACCUGCAGAAAAAGGACCGGCUAACUACGUGCCAGCAGCCGCGGUAAUACGUAGGGUCCGAGCGUUGUCCGGAAUUAUUGGGCGUAAAGAGCUCGUAGGCGGUUUGUCGCGUCUGCUGUGAAAUCUGGAGGCUCAACCUCCAGCCUGCAGUGGGUACGGGCAGACUAGAGUGCGGUAGGGGAGAAUGGAAUUCCUGGUGUAGCGGUGGAAUGCGCAGAUAUCAGGAGGAACACCGAUGGCGAAGGCAGUUCUCUGGGCCGUAACUGACGCUGAGGAGCGAAAGCGUGGGGAGCGAACAGGAUUAGAUACCCUGGUAGUCCACGCCGUAAACGUUGGGCGCUAGAUGUGGGGACCUUUCCACGGUUUCCGUGUCGGACCUAACGCAUUAAACGCCCCGCCUGGGGAGUACGGCCGCAAGGCUAAAACUCACAGGAAUUGACGGGGGCCCGCACAAGCGGCGGAGCAAGCGGAUUAAUUCGAUGCAACGCGAAGAACCUUACCAAGGCUUGACAUGACCGAGAACGCCGCAUAAAUGUGGAACUCUUUGG